GAUGAAGAACGCAGCGAAAUGCGAUACGUAAUGUGAAUUGCAGAAUUCAGUGAAUCAUCGAGUCUUUGAACGCACAUUGCGCCCCCUGGUAUUCCGGGGGGCAUGCCUGUCCGAGCGUCAUUGCUGCCCUCAAGCACGGCUUGUGUGUUGGGCCUCCGUCCUCCUCCCGGGGGACGGGCCCGAAAGGCAGCGGCGGCACCGCGUCCGGUCCUCGAGCGUAUGGGGCUUCGUCACCCGCUCUUGUAGGCCCGGCCGGCGCUUGCCGACACAUCAAUCUUUUUUCCAUGUUGACCUCGGAUCAGGUAGGGAUACCCGCUGAACUUAAGCAUAUCAAUAAGCGGAGGA
rnacentral:misc_RNA from 1 species